GAUGAACGCUGGCGGCGUGCCUAAUACAUGCAAGUCGAGCGAACAGACGAGGAGCUUGCUCCUCUGACGUUAGCGGCGGACGGGUGAGUAACACGUGGAUAACCUACCUAUAAGACUGGGAUAACUUCGGGAAGCCGGAGCUAAUACCGGAUAAUAUAUUGAACCGCAUGGUUCAAUAGUGAAAGCCGGUUUUGCUGUCACUUAUAGAUGGAUCCGCGCCGCAUUAGCUAGUUGGUAAGGUAACGGCUUACCAAGGCAACGAUGCGUAGCCGACCUGAGAGGGUGAUCGGCCACACUGGAACUGAGACACGGUCCAGACUCCUACGGGAGGCAGCAGUAGGGAAUCUUCCGCAAUGGGCGAAAGCCUGACGGAGCAACGCCGCGUGAGUGAUGAAGGUCUUCGGAUCGUAAAACUCUGUUAUUAGGGAAGAACAAAUGUGUAAGUAACUAUGCACGUCUUGACGGUACCUAAUCAGAAAGCCACGGCUAACUACGUGCCAGCCGCCGCCGUAA
rnacentral:rRNA from 1 species